GGGUUCGGGGAUCCAUAUAUUGUGACCUGCGCCCAUCUCUGCUACUGUGUGCCAUAUAAAUAAAGAGUGGCCAUAAAGCUGAGCAGCAGUGUUGCCGAAUGCACAUCCAAAGGUAAAGAAAUGUCCUGAACAAUUCAAUCCUCAUCCAGGAGCUGACAUUCCUUUCACAACAGAGGUUUUUUCUUGUGGCUUGAUUAUCUCUUCAUGAACACUUCAACUUUGACCAUUCUAGCUGCCACAUAGAGUCAAGUUCUUCUCACACUGACUGGCAGCAAGGAGCGGUCCAAAGACAAAUGGUGAUAUAAGGUGUUUCCCCUGCACGGCCAUAAAUCAUCAAUAUGGUGACAACUUGUUCAAAGGCUUCCUGAUGAAACUGGAUUCCUUUCUUUUCACUAAAAGAUCUCACCUGGCAAAGAAGAAAUUGGAUCAUACAACAGAAGGUUGUAAGGAAAUAUACAGUGAAUUCUGUUGUGGAGGGAAUCGAUGCAUCACUUCCUCUGUUCUGACUGGUAUUUGAUACCUCCCAUGGGAAAUGUCCUGCAUGAUUAUAUUUCAUUCAUCCACCACAACGUGAGGAUGGUGAGACUUCUUUUGACAAAUAAAAACAUAUUCUUUAUACUUGCAUAAUAAAGUUAUACCUAAGGGCUA